rnacentral:rRNA from 1 species
GACGAACGCUGGCGGCGUGCUUAACACAUGCAAGUCGAACGAUGAAGCGGCCAGCUUGCUGGUGGUGGAUUAGUGGCGAACGGGUGAGUAACACGUGAGUAACCUGUCCUUCACUCUGGGAUAAGCCCUGGAAACGGGGUCUAAUACUAGAUAUUCUCAAUGUGCCGCAUGGUGUGUUGUGGAAAGAUUUUUUGGUGAGGGUUGGACUCGCGGCCUAUCAGCUUGUUGGUGGGGUAGUGGCCUACCAAGGCUUUGACGGGUAGCCGGCCUGAGAGGGUGACCGGCCACACUGGGACUGAGACACGGCCCAGACUCCUACGGGAGGCAGCAGUGGGGAAUAUUGCACAAUGGGCGAAAGCCUGAUGCAGCAACGCCGCGUGAGGGAUGACGGCCUUCGGGUUGUAAACCUCUUUUAGUUGGGAAGAAGGGAGCUUGCUCUUGACGGUACCAGCAGAAAAAGCACCGGCUAACUACGUGCCAGCAGCCGCAGUAAUAC